rnacentral:lncRNA from 1 species
GGCAGGUGAACUGGGGGGCCCAGGGACAGGUCGCUGUCUCUGACCUGCAGAGACCCAGCGCCGUCGCCGCGGCUGUCCACUGGCUGGGCCCAGGCCUUGAAGCAGCCGCGAACCUCUCCCCACCCCCACCCCCACUUCGGCGCCGAUGGCGGCGGCCUCUUGGAGGAGCCCAGACCUCGCCGGCCGCCCAUUUUCCUGGCCCAACUCUGCGGGGCCUACGCGAAACACCCGCCCAGCCAGCGGGGACGUGGCGCCUUUGGACGUCGGGCGUGGCGGGGCGAGAAGAAUGGAGGCCACUCGGACGCCGCGCGGGAGGGCCGUUGGGGCCUUCGAGGGCCCGAGAAGGCGGGUCUACGUGGACGCGAGCUCUGCCACCCUUGGGCCUCGGAGCCCCACAGAUGCGGGCCGUGGGAUGACCGCUUCGUCCCAGUUGGACGAAACCUCACCUCCGGACAAUGGACAGAGGCCCUAACGGGCCCGGAAGGUGAGCGAAGCCCCAGUCCACGACGGGUGGAACGGUUAACGGGCCCUAAGGCGGUUGGUCUUCGUUCUACCAGACGUUGAUAUUGGAAGAUAGAAAUGGGAGAAUUCCGCACCGCAUUUGACCAAUAGGAAGGCCACCCUUUGGGAAGAUUUUACUGGCCGUUUAUAGAAGGCCUGUGUAUAUAAUAUGAAAAAGCUGCUCUCAACUUACCCCCCAACCUUUCAAAAGAAAACUGUUGCUAAGUCUGGGCUUUCUACAUGUAAAGAGGUUGCCGACAUAUGAUAGAGUUAGAAAAUCACAUGUCUUGUAAAUGCCUAUUUGGUUUUUUAAAAAUCGUAGACAAGAAAUGUCUUUUGGAAAUGACUUUUUUGAAAUGGAAUUGUCAGACCACCUCUAGAAGCGGAAUUGUCAGACCACCUCUAGAAGCGACAUCAGGGGCGAGCGACACACGUCCACGUCUGUUCAGUGGGUAAGAGGACAUGAAGUAGAAGACCUUGAGGAAGAAAAGAAGGUUCUGUGCCAGACUGGUCAUAUUUAGAAGACAUUUUCAUAUUAUAACCAUUUUUUGUGUGUGCUUUUUAUUCCUCAGCUACUGUAUAGUUAACAAUGCUAAGUACUUUUUUGAAACCUCUAGUCUUUCCAGAUGUUCUUAAGUGCCUGGUAUGUUAAAAAUAGAGGUAGUAAAAAGACAUUCUGUAAAUACCUUUUUGUUAAAAUUCAUAAUGAAAUACUGUUUAAUUUUGGGGAAUGGCCAAACCACCUCAUUGAGCAGUAGGCAUUGUGUUUGUGCACUGGUUCAGAGGAGGAGAGAGGAGAAGGAAGUACCAAGAGCUCUGCCAGUGUGUUCAUAGUGAGGCAAGAUUCACCAUUGUCCUUUGUGUUCCUGCAUUUUGUAUUACUUAAGUGUAUAUAGUGUAUAUACUGGACGAGUGAGUCCUAAUUUUCAGCAUCUAGUCUUUCUAGAUGUUAAAGAGGUUGCCAGUGUAUGACAAAAAUAGAGUUAGUAAACUAAUACAUUUUGUAUAUUUUGUGUUAAAAUUCCUAGAAAGAUUGUCUUCUGAAAAUUUGAGCAUUAUAGCCCAUUGAGUUGAUGGAGGGAGAGAAGAGAAGGGUUUGUCUUCGGCUAGAAUGUUCCUAUUUUGAAGACACUUUCACGUUAUAACUGUUACAUGUAUGCAGUUUAUUCAAGACUGCUAUGUAUAUAGUGGACAAAUUAAGUCCUUAUUUGAAACAUCUAGUCCUGUCUAGAUGUUUAGAAGUGCCCAACGUAUGUUAAAUGUAGAGGUAGUAAAAUGUCACUUUGUAAAUAUCUUUUUGCUAAAAGUCAUAGGAAAUUGUCUUGGGAAUGGAAUUGUUAAACCACUUCUGAGCACUCUUCAGUGGUUGGAGGAGGUGGUAGGGAAAGAAUUGCAAAAGGUAAUAUGCUGGUGUGUUAAUACUUGGACAUUUUCAGGCAAAAUCAUUUUUUUGUAUGUUAACAUGCAUUUUGUUUUGCUGUGUAUAUAGUGUAUAUAAUGGACAAAUGAGUCCUAGUUUUGCAACUUCUAGUCUCUAGAUGUUAAAGAAGUUGCUAGUGUAUGACAAAGUAGUAAAAUUAGCACAUUUUGUACACGUGUUGAAACUCAAAGGAAAGCUUUUCUUCUGUAAAUGAUUUUUGAAUAUGAAUUUGUUCAACCACCUCUAAGCAUUACACAUGCCUAUACUUGUCCACUGGAUUAGUGGUGGAGAGAAGGAAGUGAGGGAGGGAAUAGUUUAGGCCAGAAUGGUCAGAUUUAGAAGAUACCUCAGAUUAUACCCAUUGUUAGGUGUGUGCAAUUUUAUUUAACAGUGCUUUGUACAUAGUGAACAACUAAGUCCUUAUAUGAAAUAUCUAGUCUUUCUAGAUAUUUAGAAAUGCUUGAUGUACUUAAAAGUAGAAGUAGAGUAAUGCUUCUUGUAAAUAGCUUUUAAAAACUGAUGGGAAAUACUAUUUUUGGAAAUGGAAUUGCUAACUCACCUCUCUGAACAGUAUGCUUACUCGUUCAUUGGUUUGUGGGAGGUGGGAGGGAAGAAAUUGCAAAAGAUGUUUUGCUAGUGUGUGCUAGGAAAUUUCAGCUUGUCCAUUGUCCUAUAUGUUAUGUGCAUUUAACUUGACUGUAUAUAUUGUAAAUAUACUGGACAAAUGGGUCCUAAUUUUAUAAUAUCUAGUCUCUAGAUAUUAAAGAGGUUGCCAAUGUAUGACAAAAGUAGAGUUAGUAAACUAACACAUUUUGU